rnacentral:lncRNA from 1 species
GUACAUUUCAGGUUAAUAGAGAACUACAUUUUGGGUUUUAAAAAGGCAGCAAUAAUUAUAUUUUGGCUUUUAGUCUAGAUGCUUAACAUAAUUAAGGCAACAGUUCAAGCUGUGGCCUUUUAAGUGAAGGUAGUUAAAAUUUAAGAACAACCAUCAUAAUCUCUUGCAACCUACAUACACUGUUUAAUGCUUACAUGGAAUGAAACCAGUGUUCUUAAUUGGCAUGUUACACACACACACACACACAAACAGAAUUUUUUAAAAAAUCAAAGGCAAUCAUUCUAAAGGUACUAUGGUAGCAUGUUAAAAAUGCAAAUAUGCUAUAGAACUAAAGUAAUAUGAACAGCACUACUCAUUACCUAGGAGAAAGGUGACUGGUUUUCACACAAAGCUAAACCUGUAUCAGUCAUCCUAAUCACAAUGGCUUAAAAAAGCAUCAGGUUUCCAGUAGAGGAACUAUUCUAGGAAAGUCAGUAAAUCUCUUGAAAGUUUCACCUCUGUAAAACCAGGAUAAGGCUACAACUAUUUGGAAAUCUGAACAAGGUAUCAGAUGAAAUAGUAAGAUUCCCAAUCAUAAUGUAAGAUAGAAGGCCAGGUCCUCAUGCAGCAUAUGCUCGCUGGCUCUGGGAAAGCUACAUGUGCAUAAUACCGAAGUUGCCAAAGAAGGAAACUGGAGACGUUCAGUUAUAUUUCCAUGGUGCCGUGAAUUUUAAACCUCAGAAAUGGUGUGGUCCAUUAGGCUUUUCAUAAUGCUUGGUGCCAUCUGCUUAAUAAUAUGUUCAAAGAUAAAAGCAGGCAUGAUUGUAAUAGUAACUACAGUCCCAGAUGUUGACAGUAUGUCUGCAGUUUGAGAGUCCUUCGAUUCAAUGACAUUCUGUCCAUUGAUUUCACAGAUGUUAUGUUCUGUGAGAAGACCAUUUCUGGCUGCAGAGCUAUCUUUCACUAUGGAUGUUAUUUGUCCAUUUUUAAAGAUAAAACCAACAUGUCCAGUGCUAUCCUUAUGCAUGGUAAUCGUCCAUUCAAACGGCCUGUCAUGAAUGGUCAUGGUAAUCUCUCCAAAAUUCUGUUUGAGCACCUUGUGUGCUUUAUCAGAGCUCUACCCUGCACAGUUUUCACUAUUAAUCUGGAGUACUUGGUCCUCAAUUCUCAGACCAACCAAUGAGGCUGGAGAAUUAGCCUGGACUAGCUGAACAAAUAUACCAUUAUCUAUUGAUUUAAGCCUGAGUCCAAUUUUUCCAUUGUGAUCCUUACACAAAAUGACUUCACAAAUCCCUUGCUUAAUUUCUGCUCUGUGAAUUCCAACAUCAUUACCAGUUACAGGAGCCACCAUAUAGUUCAUACUGGAAGGUCUUGCUACCAACUGCCCCUGAAUUGGUGCACCAGAAACCAUGGCCACAUUUGCACAUAUUUCUUCUUCAUUUAAACUCAGGCCCAUGUAUUGAGAGAGCUCUGGAUAUAAUUUGGGAUAGAGAUUUCCAUUUUGAGAGAUGGGAGCAGAAGCUUCUGACAAAAUUGCUGGAUUGGCAGAGUUUGUAGAAAAAGUAGUUUGAGCCCCAAUUACUUUGUCUACCUUCAAGUUUUCAAGAGAUGGAUAGAGAGACAUUUUUGCAGGGUUCUUCUAGCCCACAGGGACCCACUUGCC